UUUGGGAAAGAUUAUCAUUAUUUGGACGCUUGAAAAAGUAAACGUUUGUCUGCCGAAGACAAUCACGUGGUUUACGGCCAUGUGCUUCCCUAGUAUCUACAGUGCCGAGGACGGCGCCAGUGAAAGGCAGGCGGUUUGCCAGUAAAGCAACAAAGAGUCUUGAUUUUUAGAGGCAUGCAGGUUUUAAAGAAAGAAAACAGUGUUGUAAAGAACGAAAAUGAUUGCAGAUGACACAGAGGGUUCAGGAACCAUAAAUUUUAUGUUGGUGUUUGAACUUCACCCUGAUAGACUUUGAGCACAUCAUAAGUUUUAGACCUAUGGAUGAAAAUCUGGCAGUUGGAUGAUAAGGAAAACACAGCCGUGAUAAAUGUCAGAGAAGUCUCCUUAGAAAAGUGUGCCGGUCUGGAAAAAAAGUUGCAAUGUGAAUAACUUGGAAGAAAAAAGAGUCAUGUUAAAUUUCAGAGAAUUCUUGAUGAAAGAUUGCAUGUGUUGUUCCUGUUCCAUGAACUUUGUCUUUUUAACAUUAUUUAACACUUCAUUUGAAAUGAUGCAUUUUUGAUACAUUUUCAUUAUUGAAAUAUUUACAUUUGAUACUCUAUUUAACCAGUGGGCCAAGAAAGGUGAAUACUCAUGUGGUAUCAUUGUCAGAUAGGGUAGAUUCAAGUUUGUACAUAUCAUGACCCCCUGGAUGUAGAGUGGGGCCACACUGAGAGUUCAAACUUUUAGGGAAAAAGGCCACAGUCAAAAAUAUAUAAACAUCCUUAUUUAGUGUACGUUCAAUUUUGUCAAAUCAUACCCCUCCCUUUUAGGGGUAUGUCAGGACCAUUUAUGCAUUUAAGUUUUUCAAUACUAAUCUGAUUUUUGCUUUUUUCUUAGCCACAUUGCAUAGGUGAACCAGUUGGUCCCUGAGCCUCUUGUAAAU